ACCGCACUGGUGUAGUGGCAACAUCUAACCUUCCCAAGGUUAGGCCUCGCGUUCGAUUCGCGGGUGCGGUA